GAUGAACGCUGGCGGCGUGCCUAAUACAUGCAAGUCGAGCGAACGGACGAGAAGCUUGCUUCUCUGAUGUUAGCGGCGGACGGGUGAGUAACACGUGGAUAACCUACCUAUAAGACUGGGAUAACUUCGCGAAACCGGAGCUAAUACCGGAUAAUAUUUUGAACCGCAUGGUUCAAAAGUAAAAGACGGUCUUGCUGUCACUUAUAGAUGGAUCCGCGCUGCAUUAGCUAGUUGGUAAGGUAACGGCUUACCAAGGCAACGAUGCAUAGCCGACCUGAGAGGGUGAUCGGCCACACUGGAACUGAGACACGGUCCAGACUCCUACGGGAGGCAGCAGUAGGGAAUCUUCCGCAAUGGGCGAAAGCCUGACGGAGCAACGCCGCGUGAGUGAUGAAGGUCUUCGGAUCGUAAAACUCUGUUAUUAGGGAAGAACAUAUGUGUAAGUAACUGUGCACAUCUUGACGGUACCUAAUCAGAAAGCCACGGCUAACUACGUG
rnacentral:rRNA from 1 species